rnacentral:misc_RNA from 1 species
GAUGAAGAACGCAGCGAAAUGCGAUAAGUAGUGUGAAUUGCAGAAUUCAGUGAAUCAUCGAAUCUUUGAACGCACAUUGCGCCCUUUGGUAUUCCUUAGGGCAUGCCUGUUCGAGCGUCAUUUAAACCUUCAAGCUAAGCUUGGUGUUGGGUGACUGUCCGCUUCACGGCGGACUCGCCUCAAAAUUAUUGGCGGCCGGUACAUUGGCUUCGAGCGCAGCAGAAACGCGAACUCGGGCCCGUCGUAUUGGCUCCCAGAAGCUAUCAUCACAAUUUUGACCUCGGAUCAGGUAGGGAUACCCGCUGAACUUAAGCAUAUCAAUAAGCGGAGGA